rnacentral:rRNA from 1 species
AAAGGCAUGGGUAAACUUGUGAAAGUUCAUCGUGAUGGGGAUAGAUUAUUGCAAUUAUUAAUCUUCAACGAGGAAUUCCUAGUAAGCGCGAGUCAUCAGCUCGCGUUGAUUACGUCCCUGCCCUUUGUACACACCGCCCGUCGCUCCUACCGAUUGAAUGGUCCGGUGAAAUCUUCGGAUUGCUGGGUAGAACUUCGUAAGUUGAUCUACCUGCGAGAAGUUGCUUGAACCUUAUCAUUUAGAGGAAGGAGAAGUCGUAACAAGGUUUCCGUAGGUGAACCUGCGGAAGGAUCAUU